UUGGGCGAAGAGAUUGGGUUUCUGCAGCAGACAGCGGUUUUAAUGGGAUAAAAAUGCUUUUUACUGAGUGUAUUAGGAAUAUUUGAGUGUGAACGUGUUUUUUGACAACAUUUGCGAGGAUUUGCGUAACUUUUGUGAAUUCUAUAGAAAAACCAAUUAUGUGUUGCCACCGGAAGAGGAAGUAUCUAUGGAAAAUGAUGUCGAAGAGCCAUACAGUUCAAACAACACGAGAAGAUUUUUCAGACGAAGAAGACAGUUUAACGAUAAGCAGGAUCAGUCUGUGGAGUCAGGAUCGGAUGCAAACCCGGAGCAGGUAAAGAUUUUUUAGCGCACAAGUCUUGCGCUACAACAGGGGAUCUUCACCAAGCAGAUAGUGGUAGCGAAAUUGAACUUAGCAAGGACCAAAAGCAGGAAAGUUAACUAUGCAGUACAGCAAUGAAAGUUCAUAAAGGCGUGUGUAUAUACACAUUAUAAAUUACUGCGUAUGCUAUAAAUAGUUUUACUGUAAUAACUGUAGUAACUGAAAUAAUCUGGAAGUUUUGUAAUGUUUUUAUAAUUAUUAUGAGUAUUGGGAAUAUAGAUAUAUUUCCAAAUUAUUUAUAAUUAAAUGUAUAUGUAUCUAGAGU